GGUUCAGAGCCAGAGGCCGCUCUCCCCUGCCACGUGUUUCCCCUUGAUUAGAGCCUCCCACGUGGCGAGGACUGGCCGAGAACCUCUCACCUGAAUCCCCUUUGCCCCCGGGAGUCAAUCAGACGCGGCUGUCACAGCUGUGCGCUGGAGGGAGGGGGGGCUCUGCUUUUACAGCUGGGGUAACCUCAUUUCACCCCGACGCUCUGGCUCCCAAGCCCAGCAGCUAUUCUUCAAAACCCACCAGCCUGGACAUCACUGGAGACGAUUGACAGCAGCUGAGGAUGAGGGGCCCUAUGGCCCAAGGAGCAACCAUUAAAGCCCUUUCCUCUCCCCUGGCUUGUCAGUUGCCCCAGCAGGUUAGGCGCUGCAGGUCAAUUAAAGCAGUGUGCCACGCAGAUCUUGAUCAGAGAGGAAGAAGCAGCGGAGGCUGACCCUGAUUCACCCCCGAGCCUUGGUUCCAUUUUACAGAUGGGUACAUCCAGAAGGAGGCAAAGGCUCAGCUCCUCAAAGAGCAAGAGAUCAGUCCCUGGAAGGAGCCACAGAUGACCACACGAGGGCACUACUCAGCAUCUAUUACAUCUCCUGGAGUUUUAUUUUAUAGCCUGUGCCAGAAACUGGAAACAGACCUAACAAGAGGGCUGUGCUGCAGACAGUGCUUUGGGUGCUGAGACAGUAUUUCUGGGGUUUGAAAGAAAAUGCAGAGGAGACAUUGUUUAAAGCUCCCAGGUGGUGUCUGUCACUUAGCCGCCAGUGAAUGACUCAGGACGCUUGACCUAUUCAGAUGCUGAGCCAUGGAUUUGGUUUUGAGAUGGUGGCUUGAAUUGGAUUUCACUCUGAGUUGAGGAUGCGGUCAGAAGUGACCUAAUGCUGCCUCCUUUCCCUAGUCCAGUUUCACUCUCUCUGUGGAGUAAAUCUCCUCUCUUGCUGUUUAUCUGUAGUGUUCACAGAAUGAAGCCUGGGAAUGGCACAUAAUGCAGGAUUCUUUCCUCCUCAGCACUUGUGUCCAUGAUUUUCCUGUCUUCUAUUCCAGUCUGACUUUACUUUGGAAACCCUUUGGAGUUUGGCAGGACAAGUAGACACUGCCUCCCUGUGAUCUACUAACAAGAACAAACACCUUAUCAGCCUGAUUCCCCAUUGACUCGCAGUGCUUUACACAGGUGUAAAUGACUACAGAAGCAGCAAGGGAGUGGAGAAGAAUCAGGCCUCAGGAAGGAACCAGCAGAAAUCUUUAGAGGGACGGAAGCUCCUUGUGCUUUCCAGAAGAUGGCGCUCAUUCUCCAUUUGAUUGGGGAGCAGCCUGAGCUUUAGGCAGAGAAAGGAGCUACUUGAACAAGAUGCAAAGAUACUUUGCUUGAGCCUGGUGAUGUGAUCCUUUGUUUUGUGGUUAUGAGCUGGACAUACAAAAAUAAAACAAACACAUAUGUACCCAGAGAGCAGCUCAGCACAAGAGACCAAGGCCCAGAUCCUCAGAGAUAUGUAGGCGCUUAUUUUAACUCCUCCCCAUUGCAAUGGGAGUUAAGUGUCUAAAGAACUUCGAGGAUCUGAGUCUUCUGUAGGUUGCCAUGCCCACGUGGUAUGUCUUACAGCUGGUACUGCUGUGUGCCAAGCUCCAUGGAGCCACCAAAUGAUAGUCAAGAAAACAUCUCUUGAAAUCACAAUAGCACAAUGGGAAUUUUAACCCAAGCCACAUGCCCUUCCCAUCUGUUUGCAGACUGGUAUAAUGGAAAAACAGAGACAGGCACUUUCACACCCCAGUGACUAAACUUAGGCACCUGAAUCCAUAUUUAAGCCCCUGUGCAUGCUGCUUGAUUUUCAAAUGCCCUAAGCUCCCCUGUCUCCUUCUGACAGGUGCUCAGCAGCUCUGUAAACCAUUUAUUUAGGGGCCUAAAUAUAGAUCUAGUUGACUAACUUUUAAGCACCCAGGUGUGGACAUAUUUGAUCACAAGCUUAACUGUGUAGUAGAAGAAAACAAAUCAGUGUCUGAGCAACCACGAGACAAGAAGCUCUUUGCACAGAGGUAAAGGUCUCCCUCUUUGCAGCUGCAAAUUGGCUUUACCUUGGGCUCCCUGCAUUCUGCUCAUGUCCAUUAUAAUCUCCCUCUUUAAUGCCC